CAAAGGAUAGUUUAAUUAAAAUAUUAAUUUUGGGGAUUGAUGAUAAGUAUUUCUUUCCUUUGA
rnacentral:tRNA from 1 species